AUUGAACGCUGGCGGCAGGCCUAACACAUGCAAGUCGAACGGUAACAGGAAGAAGCUUGCUUCUUUGCUGACGAGUGGCGGGCGGGUGAGUAAUGUCUGGGAAACUGCCUGAUGGAGGGGGAUAACUACUGGAAACGGUAGCUAAUACCGCAUAACGUCGCAAGACCAAAGAGGGGGACCUUCGGGCCUCUUGCCAUCGGAUGUGCCCAGAUGGGAUUAGCUAGUAGGUGGGGUAACGGCUCACCUAGGCGACGAUCCCUAGCUGGUCUGAGAGGAUGACCAGCCACACUGGAACUGAGACACGGUCCAGACUCCUACGGGAGGCAGCAGUGGGGAAUAUUGCACAAUGGGCGCAAGCCUGAUGCAGCCAUGCCGCGUGUAUGAAGAAGGCCUUCGGGUUGUAAAGUACUUUCAGCGGGGAGGAAGGGAGUAAAGUUAAUACCUGUGCUCAUUGACGUUACCCGCAGAAGAAGCACCGGCUAACUCCGUG
rnacentral:rRNA from 1 species